rnacentral:misc_RNA from 1 species
UCACCGCUUGCGCGGGCAGUCUCAUUAGAGUCCCCAGCUUUACCUGAUGGCAACUAAUGAUAGGGGUUGCGCUCGUUACGGGACUUAACCCAACACCUCACGGCACGAGCUGACGACAGCCAUGCAGCACCUAGUUUCGUGUCCUUGCGGAAGGUCCCCUUUCAGGGACUGUCACUAACUUUCAAGCCCAGGUAAGGUUCCUCGCGUAUCAUCGAAUUAAACCACAUGCUCCUCCGCUUGUGCGGGCCCCCGUCAAUUCCUUUGAGUUUCAACCUUGCGGUCGUACUUCCCAGGUGGAUCACUUAAUGGUUUCCCUUAGACGCUGACUGUGUAUCGCCAACAUCGAGUGAUCAUCGUUUAGGGCGUGGACUAC